rnacentral:rRNA from 1 species
UGAGGAAUAUUGGUCAAUGGGCGGGAGCCUGAACCAGCCAAGCCGCGUGAGGGAUGAAGGCCCUAUGGGUCGUAAACCUCUUUUGUCAGGGAACAAAAGCGAGUAUGUAUACUAGUCUGAGUGUACCUGAAGAAAAAGCAUCGGCUAACUCCGUGCCAGCAGCCGCGGUAAUACGGAGGAUGCGAGCGUUAUCCGGAUUUAUUGGGUUUAAAGGGUGCGUAGGCGGCGGUGCAAGUCAGCGGUAAAAGCCCGGGGCUCAACCCCGGCGAGCCGUUGAAACUGCAGUGCUAGAGAAGGCGAGGAGUACGCGGAAUGCGCAGUGUAGCGGUGAAAUGCUUAGAUAUUGCGCAGAACUCCGAUUGCGAAGGCAGCGUACUGGCGCCUGACUGACGCUGAGGCACGAAAGCGUGGGGAUCGAACAGGAUUAGAUACC